AUUGACCGCUGGCGGCAUGCCUUACACAUGCAAGUCGAACGGCAGCACGGGAGCAAUCCUGGUGGCGCGUGGCGAACGGGUGAGUAAUGUAUCGGAACGUGCCCGGUCGUGGGGGAUAACGUAGCGAAAGUUACGCUAAUACCGCAUACGAUCUUUGGUUGAAAGCGGGGGAUCGCAAGACCUCGCCCGAUUGGAGCGGCCGAUAUCAGAUUAGGUAGUUGGUGGGGUAAAGGCUCACCCAGCCGACGAUCUGUAGCUGGUCUGAGAGGACGACCAGCCACACUGGGACUGAGACACGGCCCAGACUCCUGCGGGAGGCAGCAGUGGGGAAUUUUGGACAAUGGGCGCAAGCCUGAUCCAGCAAUGCCGCGUGCAGGACGAAGGCCUUCGGGUUGUAAACUGCUUUUGUACGGAACGAAACGGCUCUUUUUAAUACAGAGGGUUAAUGACGGUACCGUAAGAAUAAGCACCGGCUAACUACGUGCCAGCAGCCGCGGUAA
rnacentral:rRNA from 1 species